CACCGGCAGCUCUAGUGGUAACAAUUUUUAUUGGGCCUAAAGCGUCUGUAGCCGGUUUAAUAAGUCUCUGGUGAAAUCCUGCAGCUUAACUGUGGGAAUUGCUGGAGAUACUAUUAGACUUGAGACCGGGAGAGGUUAGAGGUACUCCCAGGGUAGAGGUGAAAUUCUGUAAUCCUGGGAGGACCGCCUGUUGCGAAGGCGUCUAACUGGAACGGUUCUGACGGUGAGGGACGAAAGUUAGGGGCGCGAACCGGAUUAGAUACCCGCGUAGUCCCUGAGCGGGCUGGCAA
rnacentral:rRNA from 1 species